GACGAACGCUGGCGGCGUGCUUAACACAUGCAAGUCGAACGGAAAGGCCUGCUUUCCCUUGUGGAUUGCGGGUACUCGAGUGGCGAACGGGUGAGUAACACGUGAGUGAUCUGCCCCCAACUUGGGUAUAAGCCUGGGAAACUGGGUCUAAUUCCCGAUAGGACUGCAGGGUGGUGCCUGUGGUGGAAAACGAUUUUCUAGUGGUUGGGGAUGAGCUCGCGGCCUAUCAGCUUGUUGGUGGGGUAAUGGCCUACCAAGGCGGCGACGGGUAGCCGGCCCGAGAGGGUGGACGGCCACAUUGGGACUGAGAUACGGCCCAGACUCCUACGGGAGGCAGCAGUGGGGAAUAUUGCACAAUGGGCGGAAGCCUGAUGCAGCGACGCCGCGUGGGGGAUGACGGCCUUCGGGUUGUAAACUCCUUUCGACCGCGAGGAAGCCACCUGGUUGGAAGGGUGGUGACGGUAGCGGUAGAAGAAGCACCGGCUAACUACGUG
rnacentral:rRNA from 1 species